rnacentral:lncRNA from 1 species
UUUUUUAAUGUUUCAAAACACAUUUUUCUGAGUCACAAUUUCCUUUCUCUCUUCACAAUGACUUAACGCUCACGAACUCGGUCCCUUUUCUCUACGUCGUCUCCGCCGCUCAAACUCAAUCUGUCAGUCACGGUUUCAUUUUCCACCACACGUUAUCAUCACUGCCGCUCACGAUUCUUACUGCCUCCGAUCAUAAUUCGGAGGUAAUGCUCUUCUCUUAGGUUUCUUGAUGUUUUGUUUUUCACCUUCUCAUAGAUUUCUACAAUUUCCAGGGGCUUUUUUAGUGGAGGGUUUACAAACCCCAACAAAUUGAGGGAAAAAAAAUGACAAACUGUCUAGUUCUUUUAUCAAGUUUCAUGAGUUU